rnacentral:lncRNA from 1 species
AAAUAAUGUUGCCUUAGAGCAAUUUCUCCCUCGUCAUCCCUUUUCCCCUUACAGUUUGCUGUCACUACCGACUACGGGCCAGACUGUGCACUUCUAAGAAUCCUUCAGAUGGAGUCAGUGGGACUGCUCAUAUGAACUUCUGCCUUCCUACAUGUGAACUUCAAAGCCUUUGAUAGUCGUGAAGCAUCAGAGGAGCCUUUAUGCUAAGUAAAACCUAUGUGAAAAGAGCACUGCUUCUGAUCCCACCAGGAGCUGCUAUACAUCCCACUCUUUCUUAUCUUUUUCAUCCUCUGAGCCUGGAUAAAGCAGUCAGUCCGCAUUUGUUUGGGUGGUCAUGGCUAUACCUUUACUAUGCUGUGUGCUGUCAGAGUGGAGAAGCUGCAGUCUAGUAGGACAGGCCAUGGCGUAGCCAGAGGAAGCGCUGAAGUAGUAUAGACGCCUCAAGAGAAAGUGUCUAUGAAGAGCGAACAAAUAGCAUUGGGGACUUUGCCGGGAGAAAGCAGUAAGUCUACUAUGUGCUUCCUGCAGGGAGACUGC